rnacentral:rRNA from 1 species
AUGCAAGUCGAACGAGCGAGAGAGAGCUUGCUUUCUCGAGCGAGUGGCGAACGGGUGAGUAACGCGUGAGGAACCUGCCUCAAAGAGGGGGACAACAGUUGGAAACGACUGCUAAUACCGCAUAAGCCCACAGGUCGGCAUCGACCAGAGGGAAAAGGAGCAAUCCGCUUUGAGAUGGCCUCGCGUCCGAUUAGCUAGUUGGUGAGGUAACGGCCCACCAAGGCAACGAUCGGUAGCCGGACUGAGAGGUUGAACGGCCACAUUGGGACUGAGACACGGCCCAGACUCCUACGGGAGGCAGCAGUGGGGAAUAUUGCACAAUGGGGGAAACCCUGAUGCAGCGACGCCGCGUGGAGGAAGAAGGUCUUCGGAUUGUAAACUCCUGUUGUUGAGGAAGAUAAUGACGGUACUCAACAAGGAAGUGACGGCUAACUACGUGCCAGCAGCCGCGGUAAAACGUAGGUCACAAGCGUUGUCCGGAAUUACUGGGUGUAAAGGGAGCGCAGGCGGGAAGACAAGUUGGAAGUGAAAUCUAUGGGCUCAACCCAUAAACUGCUUUCAAAACUGUUUUUCUUGAGUAGUGCAGAGGUAGGCGGAAUUCCCGGUGUAGCGGUGGAAUGCGUAGAUAUCGGGAGGAACACCAGUGGCGAAGGCGGCCUACUGGGCACCAACUGACGCUGAGGCUCGAAAGUGUGGGUAGCAAACAGGAUUAGAUACCCUGGUAGUCCACACCGUAAACGAUGAUUACUAGGUGUUGGAGGAUUGACCCCUUCAGUGCCGCAGUUAACACAAUAAGUAAUCCACCUGGGGAGUACGACCGCAAGGUUGAAACUCAAAGGAAUUGACGGGGG